rnacentral:rRNA from 2 species
GGAUGCGAUCAUACCAGCACUAAAGCACCGGAUCCCAUCAGAACUCCGAAGUUAAGCGUGCUUGGGCGAGAGUAGUACUAGGAUCGGUGACCUCCUGGGAAGUCCUCGUGUUGCAUUCC